GCCUUCUUAGUUCAGUGGCUAGAAUUUUUCACUAGUAGUGUCCCCAUGGAACUUGCUAUGAAAGGGUCACCCGUUCAAUUCGGGUAGAAGGCA
rnacentral:tRNA from 1 species